AGCCGACAAAUGGCCGCGGCGGCCUCAGGUCCGGCGUCACUCAGACAAGGGGGCGGGUGGAGGAGGAAGCGGCCAAGUCCACAGUCCUGCUCCCGUGCCGCCGAGCACCGCCCACCUCAGCUGACCAGCCCUGUCCGCUACUAGGCCUCGCCUAGAGGAGGGAAAGGCCGUGGCGUCCGCUCCCUCCGCGGCUCAUGGCGACGACGCUUGGCACAUCCGGGACCCUCAGGCCGCUGCAGUCGCGUCGCCGGCUGCUCGGGCCCCAGCCCCGGCCGCUGUGGUGACUCCGCCGCGCCUCGCCGUCGCCCCCGUCCCGCCCGCCGCCCCAGCCGCCAGGGACAUGUCUAACCUCGGAGGCCGUAGGAACGGGCCUGUCGAAGUGCGCCUGACAGGGACAUGCCACCCCCGUUUUAGGAGAACUUGUAUUUGGUUUGAGAAGGAAUUGGAAUCACGGCGUUAUCCUACCUUCACCAUUUACCCCUGAUAAAUUGUCCACGUUUAUAUUUGGGAAUCAUAUUGACAGGUCAUGAAAAUGAGACCAAAAGAUCUCUGGAAGCGAUUAAUGAUAAAAUUUCAUGGAGAAGAAGGCCUUGACUACGGAGGGGUUGCCAGGUAAGGACUUGCUUGCCA
rnacentral:lncRNA from 10 species